AGCAGCCGCGGUAAUUCCAGCUCCAAUAGCGUAUAUUAAAGUUGUUGCAGUUAAAAGCUCGUAGUUGAAUUUCGGGAUCAGUACGCUGGUCGUGCCUUCGGUAUGUACUGGUGUUACUGGUUCCUACCUUCUGACGAACCGUCAUGUCAUUAAUUUGGUGUGGCGGGGAAUCAGGACUGUUACUUUGAAAAAAUUAGAGUGUUUAAAGCAGGCUCGCGCUUGAAUACAUUAGCAUGGAACAAUGAAAUAGGACGUUCGAUCCUAUUUUGUUGGUUUCUAGGAUUGACGUAAUGAUUAAUAGGGAUAGUUGGGGGCAUUAGUAUUCAAUUGUCAGAGGUGAAAUUCUUGGAUUUUAUUGAAGACUAACUACUGCGAAAGCAUUUGCCAAGGAUGUUUUCAUUAAUCAAGAACGAAAGUUAGGGAUCGAAGACGAUCAGAUACCG
rnacentral:rRNA from 1 species